rnacentral:tRNA from 1 species
GACCUUAUAACUCAGUCGGUUAGAGUGUGGAGCUAAUAUCUUUCGAUAAGCUACUCCAAAGUCGCCAGUUCGAGCCUGGUUAAGGUCA